rnacentral:lncRNA from 1 species
UACCCCCUCCUAGGGAAGCAGAGCACAAUGGACCUGCCCUCCGGAGACCCGCAUGUGGGCGCCUCCUGAAGGAAGUCUUGGCUGGUGAUCAGCCGGCAGGCCGAGCCUAGUCCCUAGGUCCGGGACUUUCCUGAAUCACCAGCUGACUUAGGGAGGGUCUGCUGCGGCCCGGUGCAAGCGCGGUUCGCCUUUGGACAAGACUUCCAAAGGCCAGCCCUGGGGAUGCGUGGGAAACCACUACCUCGGCUCUCUGUGAUGCUGCCCAGCCUUGGUCUGCAGAGUAGUGAGGGGUUUCGGGGUCAACUGCCUGGGAUCCCCAACCUCUCUCCCUAACCCUCCUUAUGUUCUAGUAACCCUGGGGCAAGUUUCAUAACGUCACCUUUGGCUUCCUCCCGGGUGAAUGGACCGGUUCGGUUCAAGUGCUGCUGUGGUUGGCGUACCGGAAGCUCUCUCCACUUAUGUGAGGCCUUGGUGUCUUUACAGAGCAGAGCGGGCAGGUCACUCCUUGUGGUCCAUUUCUGGGCGCCAUGGGCUCCACAGUGUGUACAGAUGAACGAUGUCAUGGCAGAGUUAGCUAAAGAGCAUCCUCAUGUUUCAUUUGUGAAGCUGGAAGCCGAAGCUGUUCCUGAAGUAUCUGAAAAAUAUGAAAUUAGUUCUGUUCCCACCUUCCUGUUCUUCA